CUCAUUAACUUCUUUUGCAUAGUUUCCUUAAUUAGAUGCUUCUCUCUACAGAGAGGUUGUAGUCACUGCAAGAAAAUUAAUGCCUGGCAGUAUACUGGGCUACUGAAUUGCAUGAUUAUUUGCCAAGAAGUGUGCAACAUUUAAAUGAUUAUAAGCACAUGAAGAUGUCAUGAUCAAGAGCUUAGCAGGAAAUAUAGGAAAGUGAGAAAGUGAUGCUAAGAUUAACUAUCAUAUCUUUGGCAUUCUUUAUAUUUACAAAGCUAUGUGUACAUGCGGUUUCAUUGGCAAAGCCAUU